GACGAACGCUGGCGGCGUGCUUAACACAUGCAAGUCGAACGGAAAGGCCCUGCUUUUGUGGGGUGCUCGAGUGGCGAACGGGUGAGUAACACGUGAGUAACCUGCCCUUGACUUUGGGAUAACUUCAGGAAACUGGGGCUAAUACCGGAUAGGAGCUCCUGCUGCAUGGUGGGGGUUGGAAAGUUUCGGCGGUUGGGGAUGGACUCGCGGCUUAUCAGCUUGUUGGUGGGGUAGUGGCUUACCAAGGCUUUGACGGGUAGCCGGCCUGAGAGGGUGACCGGCCACAUUGGGACUGAGAUACGGCCCAGACUCCUACGGGAGGCAGCAGUGGGGAAUAUUGCACAAUGGGCGGAAGCCUGAUGCAGCAACGCCGCGUGCGGGAUGACGGCCUUCGGGUUGUAAACCGCUUUCGCCUGUGACGAAGCGUGAGUGACGGUAAUGGGUAAAGAAGCACCGGCUAACUACGUGCCAGCAGCCGCGGUGAUACGUAGGGUGCGAGCGUUGUCCGGAUUUAUUGGGCGUAAAGGGCUCGUAGGUGGUUGAUCGCGUCGGAAGUGUAAUCUUGGGGCUUAACCCUGAGCGUGCUUUCGAUACGGGUUGACUUGAGGAAGGUAGGGGAGAAUGGAAUUCCUGGUGGAGCGGUGGAAUGCGCAGAUAUCAGGAGGAACACCAGUGGCGAAGGCGGUUCUCUGGGCCUUUCCUGACGCUGAGGAGCGAAAGCGUGGGGAGCGAACAGGCUUAGAUACCCUGGUAGCCCACGCUGUAAACGGUGGGUACUAGGUGUGGGGUCCAUUCCACGGGUUCCGUGCCGUAGCUAACGCUUUAAGUACCCCGCCUGGGGAGUACGGCCGCAAGGCUAAAACUCAAAGGAAUUGACGGGGCCCCGCACAAGCGGCGGAGCAUGCAGAUUAAUUCGAUGCAACGCGUAGAACCUUACCUGGGUUUGACAUGGAUCGGGAGUGCUCAGAGAUGGGUGUGCCUCUUUUGGGGUCGGUUCACAGGUGGUGCAUGGCUGUCGUCAGCUCGUGUCGUGAGAUGUUGGGUUAAGUCCCGCAACGAGUGCAACCCUUGUUCACUGUUGCCAGCACGUUAUGGUGGGGACUCAGUGGAGACCGCCGGGGUCAACUCGGAGGAAGGUGGGGAUGACGUCAAGUCAUCAUGCCCCUUAUGUCCAGGGCUUCACGCAUGCUACAAUGGCUGGUACAGAGAGUGGCGAGCCUGUGAGGGUGAGCGAAUCUCGGAAAGCCGGUCUCAGUUCGGAUUGGGGUCUGCAACUCGACCUCAUGAAGUCGGAGUCGCUAGUAAUCGCAGAUCAGCAACGCUGCGGCGAAUACGUUCCCGGGGCU
rnacentral:rRNA from 1 species